rnacentral:lncRNA from 1 species
UCCCUGUUCAGAAGAGCUGUAACACUGAGAAGAGCUGUAACACUAAGAAGAGCUGUAACACUGAGAAGAGCUGUAACACUGAGAAGAGCUGUAACACUAAGAAGAGCUGUAACACAGUAAAGGCUUGCUCGCAGAAGAAUCCUGUUGCCGCGCGUCGUUCUUGCUGGCGGGACAUUGGGCGCGCGAUAAGUGGUGCCGAGACCCGGGAACCAACAUCGCCGGUGCCAGGGGACCCUUCAGUGUGCUGAAGAGGAUUCAGAACUGCGAGAAGAAUCAAGAAAAUCCAAUUUGGGUACCCGAGCGUUUGACUCGAAGAUUGUCUUCUGCUCUUCCUGAAGAUGAGACUACAAACCCUACUAUUACUACUGGGAAUGGUAAUACAGGUUAAUUCGCUCACCCUGUGGGCUAUUGCCAGAUCCUGGCCAGUACCCAUGCCAGUUCAUAGCAAUUCUACUGUUUUGAGAAUAAGACUGGCAAGCAUAAUCUCUGGCCUGGUUUCUAUGGGUGCUGUCCAAUGAGCAAGGGUUAUAUACAUCCCUGACCCCCUUUGCUAGGUUGAUGGGUGAGAAUUUCGUGCUGUAUAAUGUUUCAGCUACCAGAAAAAAAUGAUACCAGGUUGACCAAUAUUCAAUAUAAUAACCUCUUGGCAAAUAAUAUUGCCACUAGUACUUCAGUAAUGUGUUAGAUCACCUUUUUUCUUUCUGAUAAGCACUAAUGUCAGCAAUGGUGUUUUAAAUUGUAAUAGCUCUGAUGUAGUCUGCUAUU